GUCAAAAGAUACUUUCUUCCGUUAGAGGAUGCUUUUCCACUUUUUUCUCUUUUACUUAGAUGACUCCUAAAUACUUCAGUUUCUACGAACAGCUGGUCCAACCGUCGACUGGAUGGGGCUGAGGGAACUUGUAACUGGCUCUACACAUGCUAUGGAUGUUGCCAAGAAAGCAAGUUUGCCUCUAAGAACAUCCAGUGCCUUUGAAAAAUGCAGCAUGUGUAAGUGGUAUCUCGGUUGCAGUACCUUUCAUCACUCAGAAAAAAUUUUCAGUGCCAGAAGCCUGAGAAAAUGAUGGGACUGAGAUAAGAACUGAAGAUAUGUGAAGAUUUCAGAGUUUACAAAGGAAAUACGAUAAUUUUCUUGGCCCUGUCCUCUAAACUUUUUCCCAUAGGAAAAUUUUCACAGCCUCAACCAACUCCACAAGUAGGUGGUGUCCAGGCAUGUACAAAAAUCUUAACAUGUGAGCAACUCAUGAGAAUGUAGUGUCCACCUGAGUGCUGGGAACCAUACAGCUUUGCAAAGCAGAGCAGCACCAAAUGGGAGAAGCACACAUGAAGCAUUGUUAUUUGUGUACAUCUAACUGAAACUUUUAUUUUUAUUCAGUUUUGUAUCUAGGUCAAGUGCAAGAGAAGCAAGCCUUUCUUACCUGCAGUGUACUCUAUUAGUGUUAUCGCUGUGCCAGAAAUGACCAAUUUUUCUAUUAUAAUAUUACUCCUACAAGUUGGCUGCCAAAAAAAUGUUAAAGUUUUGCCAAAUUAUCUGCUCAUAUUUGUAUAAAAUAUAUGUUGCAUAUGAGAUUAAUAUCACUGUAGAGAGUGGAGACUGAAUGGUUUUUUGUAUGUGAUACCAUAUAUAUUAAACAACCUUGAUCAAUAAGUUGUUGUCCUCUACAUUUAGUAAAGACAUGAAAAUACUGA
rnacentral:lncRNA from 1 species